rnacentral:ncRNA from 2 species
AACACAACUCAAUAACGCACUCAUAUAAUGACGAGAAUAUGGCUCGUAAGUUUCUACCAAACCACCGUAAAUGGUUUGACUAUGAGUGAGCGGUGACACUUU